UACGGGGGGGGCAAGCGUUGUUCGGAAUCACUGGGCGUAAAGCGCACGUAGGCGGAUGUGUCAGUCAGGGGUGAAAUCCCGGAGCUCAACUUCGGAACUGCCUUUGAUACAGCAAGUCUUGAGUCCGGAAGAGGUGGGUGGAAUUCCUAGUGUAGAGGUGAAAUUCGUAGAUAUUAGGAAGAACACCGGUGGCGAAGGCGGCCCACUGGUCCGGUACUGACGCUGAGGUGCGAAAGCGUGGGGAGCAAACAGG
rnacentral:rRNA from 1 species